UUAAAUUGAAGAGUUUGAUCAUGGCUCAGAUUGAACGCUGGCGGCAGGCCUAACACAUGCAAGUCGAGCGGUAACAGGGGUAGCUUGCUACCCGCUGACGAGCGGCGGACGGGUGAGUAAUGCUUGGGAACUUGCCUUUAGGAGGGGGAUAACCACGGGAAACUGUGGCUAAUACCGCAUAAUGUCUCCGGACCAAAGUGGGGGAUCUUCGGACCUCACACCUAAAGAUAGGCCCAAGCGAGAUUAGCUAGUUGGUGGGGUAAAGGCUCACCAAGGCGACGAUCUCUAGCUGUUCUGAGAGGAUGAUCAGCCACACUGGGACUGAGACACGGCCCAGACUCCUACGGGAGGCAGCAGUGGGGAAUAUUGCACAAUGG
rnacentral:rRNA from 2 species